UUUACAUUCUCAGCUGGAGUCGUUUCUAAGUAGUACACAGGCCAUGUGAUGCAGGUAAAAAACAGGCUAUAUUAUAUAAGAAAGGUGGUAGGACAACAUCUCGCCUUCAACUUGCUGGAGCUGAGGCAUCUGUGGCCGUGGCAAGUCAGUAGUGCCAUGCGGUGAGCUUCGUAAUCAUUCGGUGUCAGGACAGUGCCCAUUUGAUUUGGCGUUGAGGGGUACAUUGUGUACUAUAGUAUCAUUCCUGUGGAACCAGGUAUGCAACGUGAUGGUUUGAAAAAUCUUUGAUCUUCUUCCCUUCAGGAACUGCUCUGAGGGAAGCCAGCUGCCUUGUGCUGAGGGCAUUCAAGGAGCCCUAUGGAACAGUCUCUGUGGUGAGCAAUUGAGGUACUCCAGACAACAGCCAUGUGAGUGAGCCACCUUGAAAGUGAAUCCUCCAGCCCAGUCAAGCAGAUGACUGCAUUCCUGGUCAACAUCUUGACGGCAGCCUCAUGUGAGCCCUGAGCCAGAACCACUCAGCUAAAUUGCUCCUGGAUUCCUGACCUGUGUGAAAUAAUAAAUGCUUGUUGUUUUAAGUUACUACAUUUUAUUAUGUAGCAGUAGGUAACUAAGACACAUAGCAUUUUGUACCAUGUUGCUUUGCAUCUAGUAUGUACUCAAAAAAUAUUUACUAAU